UUCACGGACAAAUUCAGAAUUGAAAAUACUACCAACAGUUCACAGAACCAGAUCAAAGAUCCUUCUUCAAACCUAAGGAUUCGGAAUCAAAAGAAAGGAUUGGAUUGACAUCCUAGGAUUCAGAACGUGUAGAAGAGGAUUAUAUUCUAGAAAAGAGAAUCCAUAUUGGAUUAAAGAAUACUAAUAAUAUGGAUUCUCCAGGGAGUGCUAGGUACAGAAGAAAACUAUCGUUGGAAUCUCCACGUAUUAGAAGAUUGAGUCCUCAACCUCAACAGGUUCACAGAUUGUCAAGAUCCCGGAAGAUGUCGUUUCCGGCAACAACCGGUCAGCAGGGGUCAACUUCCGGUCAGGACAUGGCAGACGCAGCCAGGUAUAAAAAGAUUUUAAACA